UGGUCAUUUAGAGGAAGUAAAAGUCGUAACAAGGUCUCCGUUGGUGAACCAGCGGAGGGAUCAUUACCGAGUUUACAACUCCCAAACCCCUGUGAACAUACCUAUACGUUGCCUCGGCGGAUCAGCCCGCGCCCCGUAAAACGGGACGGCCCGCCCGAGGACCCUAAACUCUGUUUUUAGUGGAACUUCUGAGUAAAACAAACAAAUAAAUCAAAACUUUCAACAACGGAUCUCUUGGUUCUGGCAUCGAUGAAGAACGCAGCAAAAUGCGAUAAGUAAUGUGAAUUGCAGAAUUCAGUGAAUCAUCGAAUCUUUGAACGCACAUUGCGCCCGCCAGUAUUCUGGCGGGCAUGCCUGUUCGAGCGUCAUUUCAACCCUCAAGCUCAGCUUGGUGUUGGGACUCGCGGUAACCCGCGUUCCCCAAAUCGAUUGGCGGUCACGUCGAGCUUCCAUAGCGUAGUAAUCAUACACCUCGUUACUGGUAAUCGUCGCGGCCACGCCGUUAAACCCCAACUUCUGAAUGUUGACCUCGGAUCAGGUAGGAAUACCCGCUGAACUUAAGCAUAUCAAUAAGCGGAGGA
rnacentral:rRNA from 1 species